GUGCUCGCUUUGGUAGCUCAUAUACUAAAAUUGGAAUGAUACAGAGAAAAUUAGCAUGGUCCCUGCUCAAGGAUGACACACAAAUUCAUGAAAUGUUCCAUAUUUUG